GUUAACAAUGGAAAAGAAUGUGCUUUUCUCAAACAUAUGGGCACUACUCCCAGCUCUGCUCAUAACUUUGCAGUUCGGUGUUAUGAAAAUCUGAAAAACAAUCCAACUCAUAUUGACAAGGUGAUGAAAAGGCAAACUAAGCAAAUGGUUCUUGAUGCAAGACUAAGGCUUAAGACUUCUAUUGAUGCCAUGAGGUAA
rnacentral:rRNA from 1 species